UACGGAGGGUGCAAGCGUUAUCCGGAUUCACUGGGCUUAAAGGGUGCGUAGGUGGGUUGAUAAGUCAGUGGUGAAAUCCCCGAGCUUAACUUGGGAACUGCCAUUGAUACUAUUGAUCUUGAAUACCGUGGAGGUCAGCGGAAUAUGUCAUGUAGCGGUGAAAUGCUUAGAUAUGACAUAGAACACCAAUUGCGAAGGCAGCUGGCUACGCGAAUAUUGACACUGAUGCACGAAAGCGUGGGGAGCAAACAGG
rnacentral:rRNA from 1 species